CAUCACUUGCAAGUAAUAAGAAUUCAUCUUCAUCACUUCUUUGGCUAACCAAGACUUCAGGAUCUGGAAUGACAUAUGGUUUGAGGUACAUAUCACCUGCAUCGAUCAAUAACUGUAUCAUAAAAAGCAUGAUUUACUAUUAAUUUGCCAAAGUGCUCUGAUCAGCUCUUCCACAAACAGUAAGUUUGUUCUUCAUUUCUGUGGAAGCCUCUACAAAGAUGAGAAUUAAGAAAAGACCUGCUAGUGCAGUAAGCUGAGUCUUCGACGUACCUAUGGAUCUUGAAGUAGCAAGAACUCCUAAG
rnacentral:lncRNA from 1 species